AACUAGCAGUGGUGGCAUUGGCUUCCUGAACCCAGCUUUAUAUAGACUCCAUCCCUUAGGGAUGGAGUCGUAAAUUCUGCUGUGUUGUUCUGAGCAUUAUCUCAGAAGCUCUUUCUGUCCCCUGACUCCUAUAAGAUUUUUAUGUGCCACCUAAAACCAAUGUGAAAUCCCUUUCUGCUUCAACCAGCUGAAAUGGAUUGUUAAUGAAUCCAGACUAAUAUAGAGAAAGAAAUAAUAGGAAGAUAAACAAAUAAACAAGACAAGGAUUUAUUGUAAUAAGUGUUAUAAAGAAAGAGUGAUGUGGAGUUCCCAUUGUGUGCAGCAGAAAAGAAUCCUACUAGUAACCAUGAGGUUGCGAGUUCGAUUCCUGGCCUUGCUCAGUGGGUUAAGGAUCCAGCGUUGCUGUGAGCUGUGGUGUGGGUAAGCAGCUGUAGCUCCAAUUAGACCGCUCUCCUGGGAACCUCCAUAUGCCAAGGGUGCAGCACUAAAAAACAAAAAGAAAGAAAGACAGAAUGAUGUAAGAUGAGGGAAGAUUUUUCAGAUGGGGUGAUCAAAGGUCUCCUUGACAAAAUGAACCAAAGCAGCAAAAGAGGGGCUGAAGGAGGAUUUAGAGAGUUCCAGUAAACAUCCCAGGAGCACAGGCCCAAAUGUGGAAAAGAGUUUAUUGCAUCCCAUCCUCAGGAAGAACAGUAGCAUGAGAUUGGAAAUUUGGGACAAAUGGCACAAGAUGAGACUAGAAAAUUCAUCAGGGACUACACCCUCUCAAAGUGUGGUCCACAGACUGGCACUGGUCUGCAAACUGUUGAGGAUCCAUGACAAGUACAAAUUUUAAGAGCAAAUGUUUAGAAAUGCCAUAGCAAUAAGGUAUUGUCACAACAUUCAAGCAACACUUUUAUCACAUUUAGUAAAACUAUUAGUCCAAAGCAACCUGGAAAUUAACACAAAAACAAACCUGGUAUGUGAGACAGUUUGAGAAGCAUUGUUCAAACUUUUCCUGAAAAAGGCCAGAUGCUAAAUAUUUCAGGCUUUGCAGAGCCAUAGGGUCUCUGAUGUGACUAUUCUGUUGUGAUAGUACCACAGCAGCCAUAGACUGUGUCAGUGAAGGGAUGUGGCUGUGUUCCAAUAAAACUUAUUUAUAAAAAAAAAAAAGUCAUGGUGAUCAGGUUUAACCUGACAUGCUUAGUUUGUCAACCCUGUUCUAGUCCACAGGAAAGAGACUGGGUUGGGUUCUAAAGGCAACCAAAGCACACAGACUAUAUAUAAAAUAGAUAACCAACAAGGACUUGCUGUAUAGCACAGGGAACUCUACUCAAAUAAUCUAUAAUAACCUAUAGGGGAAAAGAAUCUGAAAAAGGAUAGAUAUAGACACAGAUACUGAAUCACUGUGCUGUACACCUAAAACUUACACAGUAAAUCAACUAUAUCUCAACUAAAAAUUAUUUUCCAAUUAAAAAAUAAUAGCAACACAACCACAUGCUUAAUGGAGGGCUUCCCUCACUCUUGCCCCUUCUCAUCACUGCCUAUAAUGAUGUCAAGUCUUUACAUCAUUGCCUCAAUACCAGAAAGGAAAGAAUCAUGGAGCUCCUCUCACUCCAAUGCAGUCCCCUCCUCAUGGCGCCCCUGACAGAUGAGGUUUCUGUUUAUGGGACUUGUGUUUACAGGAAGGUCCAUCUUGACUAUUACUUACAUCCCCAAGGAAAGACUUUGCAUCCCCAUUGACCUUGCAUUAGUCUGGCGAACAACCCACAGCCCUUAAACACCAGAGCCUUCUCUUCUGCAGGACCUGGUUGGUCACACACAUGUCUUCUGAGUCCUGACGUCACCUCUAGGACCCAAUUUUCUAAUGCAGACCACUCCAUUUUCCUUCUUACAAAGUUAUGGUUCUGUCCAAAGGGAUUCUUGGGACGACGGCCCACCCCUGGCUCUGUGGACAUGUCUGAAGUGGUUGUACUGGACAAGUAGCCACCACACGUGUAGCUUUGUUUGACUCUGGGCUCAGGCACAGCCAAGGGCAGGAAGGCCUUCUGUGUUCACACAGCACCCAUUUCAUAAACCUAACCCAACACCCAUACAAUAGGACGCCUUAUCCUCUCCACACACGGAACAUAGACCACUGUGUUGGGACAUGCCGCCCCCCACCCCAAGCAGGUCUCUCACACGGAGAGCAUAGCUGAGGCAGCUCGUUCUGAAAUCUCUUUUAUUUCAGAUUUCUUUCAUUGACUCAGGAACAACUUAAUAGGUCAAACUUUGCUCUUGCCAUUUCCUUAAAAUAUCCCUCUUGGGCCUACCCCCUCCCCUCCCCCCACCUUGUUUAUCUUGGCAGCAGGUAGCUCAAAGAGUUUUGGAAAGUCUCAGCUUGGCGUAGCCUCAGAGCUACUGGCACAUUAAAGAUUAAUAAAGCACAUUGAACUGAGCUCAGGACGUGGCAACAUGAUCCUUCGCAGUGAAAUGUGCAAGGUUCUUUGUUCACAAGGAACAGCACUGAAGCCAAAAAUCGCCUACCGUGACAAGCUAAGAGAGGAAAUCAUCAAGAACUUUGCAUGUCUUUCAUUGAUAAAUUGAUGGGUAAGAAUCAAUACCCCUGCUCUGCCAAGCUCUUCCAGACCCUUCUCAGGAUUUAACAUGGGCAUCGAAGUCCGACCCACAGAGCUUUUUACUGGGCUUGCAGAACCACAGAGGCAGGACAACCCCAGGUGCCUCCUUCUGGGAUAAGACAAGAUGAUUCAGAAGAAAGCUGCCAGUUACCAGCUUCUCCAGUGAAAGUCAAGAUAAAGCAUGACAUCCCCAAACAUGUGGGGUUUGCUUGAAAGAGAAUGCUUGUGUCUGACUAAAUGUUAACCCAGAAGGAAGAAAACGACUUCUUCACAUGCAUAGGUGUGGGGCUGGCAGCAGAAUGGACAAGGCAAUGUGUACGAUGAAACUGAAAAUGAAACAACCAAGCAGGGCAGACCUAUGGGUGCAGAGGCUGAAUUUAUUUGCUAUCACCCUCAGGACACCUGGACACAGGCAGCAAAUACAGGGAUAGAUCCGCAGAGGCAAACAUAGAAAAACGCAUCCUUCUGAAUUCUGGAAAAGCACUGGCAGACUCCACGUGCGUGCUGGUCAUGCCCUGUGUCUGUUUACACAUAGCCCUCCCCUCCCCUCCUCCAGAAAAAUCACAGGCAAACUCUGCUCUCUGCAAAUCAGAGCUCAGGAGCAGAGCGCUUACUAAGCCUGUUGGAAGCCCUUGCCUCCACACAGAUAGAAACACUAAAGGAAAAAAAAGAGAGAGAGAAAGGAAAAUUCUGUCCUUACCUAAAAGACAUAGCAGUCAGUGACGGUGAAUGGUUCCCUUUAGCCCACUCAGUGCUUUUCUUUUUCAUUCGGUCAAUGUUCUAAGGCUAUUGAGGAGAGUUCCUGGGGUUUGCGGAUCUUCCGUCGAGAGUUUUAAUCACUGGCUUCCCCAGCCCGGGUUUAACAAACACCGCUGUGUUCUGUCAAUAUUUGUAUGCGGCACCACAUUGGGCAACCAGCCAAUGCUGAGUUUCAAGAGGCAAGGGGAGAAAACUGACACCCUAGCAAACAUGCUUCUCUCUUUUGUGUCUUUUAAGGUGGUGCUCAAAGUAGCAUCUUUGAUGCUGACAGGAACUAAAGAUAGCCUCUUUGGGGGAACUUUCUCCACUGCCCCCCAAACGCCUGGCGGGGCUGCCCCAGCUAGGUUCCACAAAGUUUGUUUUUGGUCUCUCUGCCCUGAAGUUUCACUGCAGCACA
ensembl:lncRNA